rnacentral:tRNA from 1 species
UCCCUGGUGGUCUAGAGGUUAAGACUCUGCACUUCCAAUGCAGGAGGCACAAGUUCAAUCCCUGGUUGGGAU